rnacentral:lncRNA from 12 species
GGUUGCCCCAGUUUUGCAGUGUUGCACAGAGCUUCCUAUCCAAAGGUUCAUCUACUUCAAGAGCUUUACAAAACUGAUAAUGUUUUGCAGCCAGGCUGGUGUCACACCCAGGCUGGGACCUUCACAACAGAUGUCAAGAGCAGAAAGAAGACAAGGUUGCAAUAAAAGACCACGUUCAGAGAAUAUAAUUUGUCGGAAGAAAAAAGGCAAGUUCAAGGCUGUGUUAAUGACCUUGGUAUCUCACUCAACCACAGGAUCAGGGUCUUCCCACUCAGCAAACUUAGCUUGAAU